AAACCAAAUACAGGUUUGGAGAUGGCCGAGAAACCCUAAAGCCCAAUAUUGAGAAAGCCCAGUAAAAACAGAACCCCAAAAAUGCAACACUCACCCCUCUGAUCUGUAACUCCUGAUCUCCACUACUGCCACUGCUCUCCCCCUGUGAAAUCCAAUUACAGAAACCCUAACAAAAUCUAACCCUAAAAGUCUUCUCUCUGUCUCCACCAUGGACGACCUACGGGCCACCUACAGAGACGAAGACGAAGAAGACGACGAUUGCGCCACCACUGCAACGGCUACUGCAAACGGCGUAAAGCAUGAACCACCCGAAGACCACGACCACUCCGACGAAUCGAAGCCCUCUUCGGAUGAUGAUGAGGAAGACCCGCCUCCCAAGAAGCAGAAGCAACUCUCCUCCCUCAAUGCGCCAACACUGCCGGAGGAGAACCAAGCAACGGAGCAAGCCAUCUCGAUAGCCGCAGCAGCGGUGGGGGCGACGGAGACGCCGAAAAUUGCGAAGAAGGCGAAGAAGAAGAGCAAUAAUGUAUGGACGAAAUCGACCUCGAGGAAGGGGAAGAAGAAGGCGAAGGCAACUGCGAAUAAUGCCCCAACGGAAGACCCAGUUUUAAUAACCCCAGUCCCAAGGUUUCCUGACAAGAAUGACGAUGCUCCGGAUAUGAAAAUAUGCCUCUCGAAGAUUUACAAGGCGGAGAAAGUGGAGCUGAGCGAUGAUCGAAUGCGUGCUGCGAGCGGGAAAGGUUAUAGAAUGGUUAGGGCUACUAGAGGGGUUGUGGAAGGAGCUUGGUAUUUUGAAAUCAGGGUUUUGAAGUUGGGGGAGACAGGGCAUACGAGGCUUGGAUGGUCGACGGAGAAGGGGGACUUGCAGGCGCCAGUAGGGUACGAUGCAAAUAGUUUCGGGUAUAGGGAUAUAGAUGGGACUAAGGUGCACAAGGCAUUGAGGGAGACGUAUGGGGGGGAAGGGUAUGUGGAGGGUGAUGUUAUUGGGUUUUAUAUAAAUUUGCCGGAUGGUGCAAUGUAUGCUCCCAAACCACCGCAUUUAGUUUGGUAUAAGGGGCAGAGAUAUGUUUGCGCAACCGACACCAAGGAAGAUCCUCCAAAAGUGGUGCCUGGAAGUGAGAUAUCUUUCUUCAAGAAUGGGGUAUGCCAAGGAGUUGCUUUCAAGGAUCUAUGUGGUGGUCGAUAUUAUCCUGCUGCUUCAAUGUAUACUCUACCCAAUCAACCACAUUGUGUGGUAAAGUUCAACUUUGGUCCUGAUUUUGAAUUCUUUCCGGAGGAACUUAAUGGACGCCCAGUCCCAAGGCCCAUGAUCGAAGUUCCUUAUCAUGGGUUUGACAGCCAAACUGAAAAUGGUGAUAAGGGGUUUCAUCCAAAUGUGCGUUUUGUUGAAUUGGUCAUGAGCUAGGUUGAAAAAUUGCAGAGGUAGCAGAACUAAUCAGUUCAAAAAUGAGGAAAAUGCUCAGGUAUGGUACUAAUUCCUAAUGAAAUCAAUUUCACGUCUAUCUGGAAUCUUUUAGGCAUCAGAUAAAGACAUCGUAUCAUGGGGUCUGAUAGGGCAGUAAGAGAAUUAUGUUGGCUUGGAGUAAUAGAAAAUUUGUGAGGUUAGUAAGCAUUUGGGUUUGAGGUUAUGAAGAGGAAAAUUUGGAUUUUUUUUAUGGACAAUGAUCUAGAUGGGGGUAGAAGGUUCUUGCUUGGUAAAAAAAAGGAUAUGCGCAAGUUCUUAGAAAAAUAAGUGGCUGCAAAAGCUUUCCUUUUUGGUGAAUUAUGGAGGGUGUAAUAGAUAGGACUUGUUGUUCUAUACUCAGGUCUAUCAUUGGUGUUGAUGAAGCUUAGAAUUAUUCCUUGGAAUGUUUGAGGUAUAAACAAUAAGGGAAAGCAUAAGUCCAUUGAAUCUUUUCUAAGGUCAAAUAAGAUUAAUUUGGUGUGCAUUCAAGGAACGAAGAUGGAUUAUAUGUCUUUGUUUUUGGUUGGAAGCUAUUGGGUUUGCUUCUUGGAGUGAGGAAUUACUAAAUGUGAGGAUUUUUUUUUUUUUUUCUAAGCCGGGGUUUGGUUUCUGGUAUUUUUUGAUAAGAGGGUGCUGGGUUUAUUAGGAAUGGAGGAGAGGGUGCUGGAUUUAUUGGGAAUGGAGGAGAGAGUGCGUACUCUCUUUCUCAUCGUUCUAAGAAUUGUGAAGAUGGAUUUUAGUGGGUAAUUCAGGAAUGCAUGACCAAUCUUAAGCACAACAAGGAUGGAUAUUUGGUAAGGGUAACAUUAGAGGGCUGUGGAAUGAUCCAGGUGCAUUUUGAUAGUUUUAAUGUGUUCUAUUUUUCUCUUGAUAGAUGGAAUUGUUUUGAGGAUCUCCUUAGCUAUGAGAGACUCUUCAAACUUCAUUGAAGGUUUCAAUUUAUUGGAUAUUUCUUCUUCUAUUGGAACAUACACUCGGCAUGGUAGUCAAAGAAGGUAGUCAUUUGUCUUAUUGGAUAUUUCUUGCUCUCUAUGAAUUGGGGAGAGCAUUUUUCUAAUGUUUAAGAAAGUUUCUUUCACAGCCUAUAUUAUCAUUUACCUUUCUCUUUUAUUGGUCAGAAAUGGAGUUUCUUUUUAGAUUUUGGAGUAUGUGGUUGAACAAAAUUGGUUGUGGGGAUUUAGCUAAGAAUUGCUUGUGGAGCUAUGAGUUUAGUGGUUGAUGGAGUUUUACUUUUGUUGUAGAGAAAAAGGAGUUGAAGGAUGAUUUAGAAAAAAAAUGAAUUACAAUUGUUUGGAAAUGUAUCUAUUCAUAAAGCUUGUGCUUUGGAGUAAAUUAGGUUUUUGGAUAGUAAGAAGAAUGGGCUUUUGUGUAUUGAGGAGUUCGAGCCUAGGUGUUCUAUGUUGGCAUUGAGGGGGCUGGCAUUAAAUUUAUUGGUGUGGCUAAUAGGGAAGGUUUAAUAAAAUUGUUUGAUGAGAAGGAGGUUUUGGUUCUUUAUUUGACUUGAUCAAUGACAAAACCCAUGUGUGGGUAAUUGGUUGAGAGAUCAUCAGCAAAAUUGUUGGCUUCAUUAUAAGGUGAUUUGAUGAGGUUCCAUAGUGACUUGCAUAUGCAUCUUUUGGUGCCUAGCAAAGGUGGCAAUGAGGACAUCAAGGGCCUUUGGCCCAUUAGUUUUUAGUUGGAUGUUUGUGUUUGUGUAAGAUGCUGACUAAUCAAUUUAAAACAAGGUUCAAAAUCUCGUCCAAGCUCAAUAUGAUUUGGUUGAGUCGUAUUCACUUGGUCCAUGUCCAAUACAAUAUUGAUAACCAAGUUUAGUAUUUUUUUGAAUUGCCAUGUGAAUUAGCCAACUCGGAGAUAACUUUAUAGUUUCGAGACAAUUCAUGACUCUGAAAUGUUGUAGAGAUUGGUGUUGAAGUGGGUGAUGGUUGUGAUGCCUUUUUCUCUCAAGCAUGGUGAUGGUGAACCUUCUCUUUGCCUUUAGGUAUUUUCCAAGAAUGUGGGAAGGAGAGGGAGGAGUACCAUUCCUUUGGGAUCUUCUUUAUUACCACUCCUUCAUCCAUGGCAUCUCACAAAGUGGGAAAUGAGUAUUACUGGGGUAAUGGGUAAUUACUAUUUGAAGGGGACAUUAUCUUAAAUGAACAACCCAUGGGAAUUGGGUCAUUGGGUUAAAUUGGCAAUGGGUAUGGAUAUUUGAUAGAAAUUUGGGCAUCUGUGCAUUUAGAUCAAGUUCAGAGAAGAAGGUGGUCUUUAGCAAAUCAAUGUUAUCUUUUCCAAGUGGAGGAAGAAUCUAUAGACCACAUCCUUUUGCACUGUGUAAAGGCGAGUUUUAUGAGGGUUGCUCUUUGCACUUUUCAGGGUGUCUUGGGUGCUUCCCUUAUUGGUUAGAGAGACACUUUUGGGUUAUUAUUGUUCGUUUGUGGGCAAAAAACGUAAGAAGAUUUAGAGAGUCGGGUCCUUAUGCAUCUUUUAGACGAUUUGGAAGGCAAGAAAUAAGAUUGUUUUCGAUGAUGAAGUGCUUUCGAUUUAAAGGUUAAAAAGUUAUUUUGUUUGCUUUCUUUGGUUGGAGACUAAAAUUUUUAUUAAUGCUGGUUCUUUGAUGGUAAUUGGUUUCUUUGAUUGGUUGGGCUCUUGUUGAGGGUGGUGAUGUUCUUGCGCCUCCUCUAUUGUAGAUCCUUCCCUUGUUGAGUGUAAUUCAACUUAGUUGAUUGUUGAUUUGCACCCCAUAGGGUAGGGUCUACAGGACUAGGAGUUGUCACACUCAAAGAUGUAAAAAAUACUUCCUAAAAUCAUUAUGAAACACACUUUUAAUAAAUGAUUCUUCCAAAAACCUUUUUAAUGAAAAUGCUUCAAUUGAAAGUGCUCCAAAUUGAAACACCCUGAGAUGUACAAAAUAUUCUUAAAAAUUAUGUUAAAAAAUUAAGUGCCCCUUUGGUAACACCUUACUUCAUGAUUGCCUAUGUCAUGCAACGUAACAUGCCAUGUUGAAGACAAGUUUAAAAGCGUGAGGUAUUUGCAGGGUUGAAUAGCAUGUUAGUGCAACAAUGACUUGGUAGUGAUUUAAGGGUGGUAGCACAUGUGCAGGCACAUGCAAGGUGCUGCAUGGCUAGCUUAAUUAAAUAAAGUGUGAGAUUUUAUCAGGUUGAGAUUUUUCCUUUGAAUAUGUGUAAAUGGCACUCCAAAGAUAUGACAUGGAGCUUCGGA